rnacentral:rRNA from 1 species
UUUCAAGUCAGGAGUGAAAGGCUACGGCUCAACCGUAGUAAGCUCUUGAAACUGGGAGACUUGAGUGCAGGAGAGGGGAGUGGAAUUCCUAGUGUAGCGGUGAAAUGCGUAGAUAUUAGGAGGAACACCAGUUGCGAAGGCGGCUCUCUGGACUGUAACUGACGCUGAGGCACGAAAGCGUGGGGAGCAAACAGGAUUAGAUAC